rnacentral:rRNA from 1 species
UCUCCUGGAAACGGGUGGUAAUGCCGGAUGCUCCAUCACACCGCAUGGUGUGUUGGGAAAGCCUUUGCGGCAUGGGAUGGGGUCGCGUCCUAUCAGCUUGAUGGCGGGGUAACGGCCCACCAUGGCUUCGACGGGUAGCCGGCCUGAGAGGGCGACCGGCCACAUUGGGACUGAGAUACGGCCCAGACUCCUACGGGAGGCAGCAGUGGGGAAUAUUGCACAAUGGGCGCAAGCCUGAUGCAGCGACGCCGCGUGAGGGAUGGAGGCCUUCGGGUUGUAAACCUCUUUUAUCAGGGAGCAAGGCUUCGGUUGAGUGUACCUGUUGAAUAAGCACCGGCUAACUACGUGCCAGCAGCCGCGGUAAUACGUAGGGUGCAAGCGUUAUCCGGAAUUAUUGGGCGUAAAGGGCUCGUAGGCGGUUCGUCGCGUCCGGUGUGAAAGUCCAUCGCUUAACGGUGGAUCCGCGCCGGGUACGGGCGGGCUUGAGUGCGGUAGGGGAGACUGGAAUUCCCGGUGUAACGGUGGAAUGUGUAGAUAUCGGGAAGAACACCA